CUCAACUUCCAUUUUCAUUGUUUUUAUUUAAGAACAACGGACAAGAGGGGUUGCUCUGAUGGUAAGCAACUCCCACUUCCAACCGAGAGAUUGUGAGUUCGAGUCUCCCCAAGAGCAAGGUGAGAAGUUCUUGGAGGGAAGAAUGUCGGGUUUCUAUUUGGAAACAGCUUCUCUACUUAAGAAUAGGGGUAAGGAGAUACACAUUACUCUCCUUAGAUCUCAUUAAGUGAGUCCAAGAGCAAGGUGGGAAGUUAUUGGAGGGGAGGAUGCGUCUAUGUGGAAACAGCAUCUCUACUCUAGGGUAGGGGUAAGGUAUGCGUGAACACUACCCUCCCCAGACCCCACUAAAUGGGAUUAUACUGGGUUGUUGUUGUUGUUAUUUAAGAACAAUCCUAAUAUCGUCUCGACGAAAAAACAUAGUAUCCUCGCUCGACGUCACAAGGAGAAAUAAUCCAGAUCUU
rnacentral:lncRNA from 1 species